AGCAUGCAGUCGAGCGGGACAGAUCCAUCUUGGUAUAUGUUGACGAGCGACGGACGAGUGAGUAAUGCAUAUGAGUCUGCCCGUUAGUGAGGGAUACCCUGGGCGGACGCUGGCUCAUACCGCGCACUACGUACGGGAGAAAGGGGGCUCCGGCUCCCGCUCUGGUAUGUGCAUAUGUCUCAUAAUCUAUUUGGGGAGGUGACGAGGCACACGGGCGACAAUACGUAUAUGGGCUGAGAGAAUGAGAAGACCCAUCGUGACUGAGACACGGCCCCAACUCCCACAGGAGGCAGCAAUGGGGAAUAUUGGACAAUGGGGGAAACCCUGAGCCAGCCAUGCCGCGUGUGUGAAGAAGGCCCUCGGGUUGUAAAGCUCUUUCUCCGAGGAAGAACGCCUAUGGGUUAAUACCCGCUAGGACUGACAUCUCUCCCAUAAAAAGCACCGGCUAACUCCGUGCCUCCAGCCGCGCUAAUACGGAGAGUGCAAGCGUUAAUCGGAAUUACUGUGCGUAUAGCGCGCGUAGGUGGCUUGAU
rnacentral:rRNA from 1 species